AUUGAACUCUGGCGGCAGGCCUAACACAUGCAAGUCGAACGAGUGGCGGACGUGUGCGUAAUGUCUGGGAAACUGCCUGAUGGAUGGUGAUAACUACUGGAAACGUUAGCUAAUACCGCAUACCAUCGGAUGUUCCCAGAUGGGAUUAUCUAGUCGGUGGGGUAAAGGCUCACCUAGGCGACGAUCCCUAGCUGGUCUGAGAGGAUGACCAGCCAAACUGGAACUGAGACACGGUCCAGAGUCCUACGGGAGGCAGCAGUGGGGAAUAUGGCACAAGGGGCGCAAGCCGGAUGCAGCCAUGCCGCGGGUAUGAAGAAGGUCUUCGGGUUGUAAAGUACUUUCAGCGGGGAGGAGUUACCCGCAGAAGAAGAACCGGCUAACUCCGUGCCAGAAGCCGCGGCAAGAC
rnacentral:rRNA from 1 species